rnacentral:rRNA from 1 species
GGAAUAUUGGUCAAUGGAGGGAACUCUGAACCAGCCAUGCCGCGUGCAGGAUGACUGCCCUAUGGGUUGUAAACUGCUUUUGUCAGGGAAUAAACCUUUCUACGUGUAGGAAGCUGAAUGUACCUGAAGAAUAAGGAUCGGCUAACUCCGUGCCAGCAGCCGCGGUAAUACGGAGGAUCCAAGCGUUAUCCGGAUUUAUUGGGUUUAAAGGGUGCGUAGGCGGUCCUAUAAGUCAGUGGUGAAAGACGGCAGCUUAACUGUCGCAGUGCCUUUGAUACUGUAGGACUUGAAUCUAUUUGAAGUGGGCGGAAUAAGACAAGUAGCGGUGAAAUGCAUAGAUAUGUCUUAGAACUCCGAUUGCGAAGGCAGCUCACUAAGUUAGUAUUGACGCUGAUGCACGAAAGCGUGGGGAUCAAACAGGAUUAGAUACCCCUG